ensembl:lincRNA A230087F16Rik RIKEN cDNA A230087F16 gene
AAGGACCAGGGAGGAAGCAGCCAUUCCUAAACCAAGGGAUGGUGCCAACCAGGGGCUGAUGUCUCCCUGUGGAGAAGGGGAGGAGACAGCAGACACCCACUUGGUACACGUGGGCAAGGUGCAUGGGAAAGGUCGCGACGCUCAGGGACAUCACAGGUCACGCGGGGAAAGGCCACGCCUCUUCCUUAGCCCACCCGGCUCCUGGGCCUGUGGCCUGUGACUAGCUAGGGGUCAGCACCCGAGGGUGGGCUGCCUUGGGGAGGGGAGAUCCACUCAGCUUUCCCUACGGUUUCUUGAGCAUGCAGGCAAGACUGGACCUCUUGAUGUGUUCCCAAAAGAGGAGAAAAAAGUGAUCCCUGGUUUGCACUGCGUUUGAGGUGGGGCAUGCCCCAAUUCAAGGCUGCUCUGUGUGAGCUGGGAGGAAGGCUCCUUAGAGCAAAGCUUUGCUGGGAACCGGCACAGCUCACAGGCUCUGACUGCUUCUCUGGAACUCAUGGCUGCUGGAAACUUGUCCUCCCCCCACCUUGGAGCUCUCCCCAGGUAAGUACACUGUGGCUGUCUUCAGAGACACCAGAAGAGGGCACGAGGUCUCACUGCAGAUGGUUGUGAGCCACCAUGUGGUUGCUGGGAUUUGAACUCGGGAUCUUCAGAAGAGCAGUCAGUGCUCUUACCCACUGAGCCAUCUCUCCAGCCCCCGGGGUGAGGCCUCUUGGGCUCCCAAACAUUACAGAAAACCACAGCCAAUCAAACUGCAGAAUUAUGGAACCAAGGCCAACUGACAAAUCUACGACACAACUCCUGUACCCAAGGCUCAGGAAUCACUGGGAAAGAUGGGUAGGUUCAGGGAGUUUGCUGUGAGAUUGUGUCCCCUAGAAAUGCUGGAAGCUGCACUCACAGAGUCUCACCAACAUGGCUGCCUAACAGAGACCCCUCCCUCUCCUUUCAUGGUAGAUGAUGAGAAACAAGAAGACACAGGUCCAUGAUGGUAAAGUUUCCAGAAGACCCUCUGGAGAAGGAGACAAUAUGUUCCUUUUGCGUACAAGUGGAUGGUUGGUAGCAAAGGUGCCCACAGACCAGGUCUUUCUCCAGUGGGAUAGCUGACCCACUAGCUUUAGAAGGGAACAAUUGAUAUUUUUUUGCACAUGGGCUUCACAUAAAUAUAAACCGAAGGAUAGAAGAAGUGCCCUCUACUGGUGGCGGUGGCCAACGCCUUUAAUCCCAGCACUCUGAGCCAGCCUGAUUUACAGUGAGUUCCAGGACAGCCAGGGCAGAGAAACCCUGUUUUG